rnacentral:rRNA from 1 species
AACGAACGCUGGCGGCGUGGAUAAGACAUGCAAGUCGAACGGGAUUUUAUUUGUAGCAAUACACGUAAAGUCUAGUGGCGUAAGGGUGCGUAACACGUGGGCAAUCUGCCGAGAAGUGGGGGAUAGCUCGCCGAAAGGCGAAUUAAUACCGCAUGUGGUUAGUGAAGACAUCUUCGCGAUACCAAAGCCGGGGCAACCUGGCGCUUCUUGAUGAGCCCGCGGCCUAUCAGCUAGUUGGUGAGGUAACGGCUCACCAAGGCUAUGACGGGUAGCUGGUCUGAGAGGACGACCAGCCACAAUGGAACUGAGACACGGUCCAGACACCUACGGGUGGCAGCAGUCGAGAAUUUUUCUCAAUGGGGGAAACCCUGAAGGAGCGACGCCGCGUGGAGGAUGAAGGUCUUCGGAUUGUAAACUCCUGUCAUUUGGGAACGAUUGUUGGCGAUUAACUGUCGUCAGCUUGAUAGUACCAGAAGAGGAAGAGACGGCUAACUCUGUGCCAGCAGCCGCCGUAACAC